UUAGACAGAACGCUAACACCACGGACAUCCCACUUCCCACACACGGUCUUUUGGGAUGUCUGGAAAGCAAAAUAUUACUGACCAGAAAAGGAUGGUCAGCGAAGCCCUUGGGGACCAAGCCAUCAAGGUUUCAGAUCAGAGUGAAAUACGAGAAGCCAAGGACUGUGGUGACUAGUGGUAACAAGGGUUCGUCAGAGCAGAGGACAACGCAGUGGUGGAGGAUCACAAAGAGAACAGGGAAGUGGCCCCACAUCCAGCAUUGCUCAGGAUGCCAGGAAGUAGGGGCUCCUUGGGGACACUCCUGAGCUCUCCAGUUAUGCGAAACAGCGCUGAUUUCCCUAGCUCUGGCCUCUGCCCAGACAACAAAGAGUCCGAGGCCAGCCAGCUGGAAAUCCCCAGCCAGCGGAAUCUCGAGGCAAACAAAGAGGAGGGGUCUUGGGGAUGUAGCUCGGGUGGAAGAGGGCUUAAAGCCCGGAAGCCCUGCUUCCCUCCCAGCGCCACUUACAGUGGGCAGAAGCCCUUCUCUGAGGGCCCAUUUAUAGGCCCUACAGAUUGUACAGAGACGUCUGGAGACCUUUGGCCGCUGCUUACCAGGACAAGCUUGAACAUCCGGUGGUGCCACACCUGUUCCAGAUUGGAGACACCGUGUGGGUACACAGACACCAGACCAAGAAUCUCGAGCCACGGUGAAAAGGACCCUACACCGUCCUCCUGACUACCCCGACCGCCCUAAAGGUAGACGGAGUCUCGGCUUAGAUCCACACACCACACGUCAAGGCAGUCCGGUCUGAGGAAUUGACUAAUCACAACACUACACCCCAGACAUGGAGAGUUCAGCGCACUCCAAACCCCUUAAAGUUAAAACUCCUACGUGGCUCCUCCUAGCCCUUUUGUGGCCUAGAGUCAGUGGGGAAUAAGCCCCCACCAGACAGAAAUUUCUUGACCAAGUCGAGUGAAAGAUUUCACUCAAAGUUAGC
rnacentral:lncRNA from 1 species